UCCAGAUCCAAAGCUUUGAAUAAAUCUAGCACCAAAGCUCCAGCAAUAUCAACCAGCGCAUCCAUGUCUAAGAAUCCAGCGAAAUCACCACUAAAGCUCCAGCGCAUCCAUGUCUAUCCGUUCUUCAAGAACAUAGUUUAACGAUUGAGUUCAACUGGUUCUGGUUCCAUUCAUGCAAAGAGUUUGAAGCGAUCUCUAUGGUAAGGUUUAGGUUUUGUUGUCGAAUACAGUUAAUUAUUUAAAUUAUUUUGCUUUUUUUUUUGUUGUUGGUAUGUUAUUGGGAUGCAGAUAAAUAUCCAGAGUUAUGGUAACCAAGCUGAGAUCAAAGCGCGCAAAGGUUGUAAGAGAGACAAAGAGAAAGAGGCUUUAAAAAGGUUUGUUGUUAUCUGAUUAUUUAUGUUUUAGUUUUGUGUUUAUGUUAGUUUAAAAUUUAGCAAUUUUUUAGAAACUUACUUCGGAUGGGUGAUCUCCUUUUUAAGUCAACUAAAAUCAAUGAUAGAGAAAUCAACAAUAGUGUUGUUUAAAUUUUAUUCUGUAUGGAAACCAUCUGAUUCAGCUCCAUAGAGGAUUACUGCAUUUUAUGUUGAGACGAGCUUACUGAAGCGAGUGCUAGGGUAUUGCAACACAUCGCUUCAGCUCCAGAGGAUGGUAAUAAUCGUUUUGCCAUUGUAGUUGUAAAGGUAUAGUAAUUUUACUUUUUGGUUUUGAUUGCCAAAUGGUCUUAGUUCUCAACUAUAGUUCUCAACUACCGUUUAUAAUCUUUAUCCUCAUUUUUCAGCCAUAUAUUACUUAAAUUUUUUUUUCUGGUGAGCAGAAAAUGUCAUACAACAAUUAUCUUGGUGUUGACUCAGCGUGGAACUGCGAAUCAGAUUCUGAAAACCCGACAUGUGCAGUCAUGAAGCACACUGUGAGGCCUACCGGCUAGCUUUAAUAGCAGAUCCAGGUAGCACCUUUGGUGGUAUUGUAGCCGCCAAUGUCAAAGUAGGCUAGGGAUUCUUCGCAACAAAAAGAAAAGACAUCUAUUGUGUUACUGAUCAAAAUCUCACCAUCUGUUUCACUCAGAAUAUUGUCCUCUCGGAGCUUCAAUAUAACCCAGUUGUGAUCGAGAGAAACAUGUUCAGGUUCCGCUCAUUCCAAGAGUUUGAGGGGUGAUUUGUAUGAUAUCAUCGGCCCAUGAAGGUCAUCAAUUGACAGUCUCUCAGCAAACACCCGGUCUUGAACGGAGGCAGCACUCCCACCUACAGCCAAAACAGUGACCUAUGAUUAACGUCUACCUUUGGGACCAGGCUUCUCAUGAGUCCCACAACAGGUUCAAUGAAAGUCUCGCCACUCUUGCUGUUGUAUUAGUAACAUCAGUUAACACUAAAUGUUUUGGAGGUACCGUGCUGAGAUAUCUAUCUAUGACAAUGUCAUUAAGGCAACUUUUGUGCUCCUUGGUAAUACUGGUCCUGAUCUAACAUAGGCAGGCGUUAGAGCUUAUUGACAAUUACUUCGAGGCUAAUGGGGACAUUGGUGCUAACCAUGAGAUGCCAACUCCACAAUGUCUUGUGGAAAUCUCGAGCUCCAACCUUACAGUUAAGAGACAUACCAUAAUUGUGACGAAGGUUGUUUGUCCUGCAGUUCUGCCACCAUUUGUAGUAGCAGAAAGCCAACCAGACGCAAUCGAUGAAGAGAGCACAUGCUCCUGGAUUAAUUCAUUUAUGUCAUAGGGAGUAACUUUAUCCAAACUAUUUUUGAACUCUUUGUUCUUGCAUAUUUUUUAUAAAUAAUGUAUAAUGACUUGUGAAGUUGAGGUACUCUCCUUCCUAAGCAUAUGUUGUGUUUUCGUUCUUUAUAAGUUGGGUUUUAAAUUUGAAAUACAUAAGAACUAUAUUCUGAA